ACCGGAUGAGUAAAUUCGGCCUGAAAAGUGUGCGAACUAGCCGGAGAUUCGUUGAAUCGGGCAUGGAUGGCAGUGACGAAGUUGGCCAGGGUGCUCGACGUAAGGUGCGUGGAAUGGCUUCAUCUAUUACGGACUCCGCCACAAUGGUCUCGGCAGAAGUCAGCACCACUAAUGACUCUCAGAAGUGCUUAUGAGCAGCUGUUAAACAUGGAUUUAUUGUUUGUAAACAGAACUAAAAUUGUUUAAUUGCAAAUGGCUGGUAUAUAUUUUUAUUUAAUACAAAAAAAAUUCUUUAAAUUUAUAGUUCAGAAUCAUUGCAGUUACUCUGACAAUAUAUACAUGUACUGUACUCAUUAAUUGUUCAUAAAGGAACUUGUAUUUCUGUUUCCAUCUUCAAGUACAGUAUAAAUACUGUGUAUAUUUAUAGAAUUGUGUGCACCUAUAAGCUUUGUGUAUAGGUGUGGAAUUAUACCAGCAUGUGUUAAUUCAUACAUGUAUGUAGAAUUUUGUAUGCAAGUCUUUAGAAUAAAAAAAGGUAACUAAAUAAUCAGA